rnacentral:rRNA from 1 species
GACGAACGCUGGCGGCGUGCUUAACACAUGCAAGUCGAACGGAAAGGCCCUGCUUUUGUGGGGUGCUCGAGUGGCGAACGGGUGAGUAACACGUGAGUAACCUGCCCUUGACUUUGGGAUAACUUCAGGAAACUGGGGCUCAUACCGGCUAGGAGCUCCUGCUGCAUGGUGGGGGCUGGUAAGUUUCGGCGGUUGGGGAUGGACUCGCGGCCUAUCAGCAUGUUGGUGGGGUAGUGGAUUACCAAGGCUUGGAGGGGUAGCCGGCCUGAGAGGAGAAGAGGCCAAGCUGGGAUUGGAAUGAGACCCGGCCUCGAACGGGAGGCAGGGGAGGAGAAGAGAGCACAAUGGGCGGGAGGCAAGUGCAGCAAAGCCGCGUGGGGGAUGACGGCAUUCGGGUUGGAAACCGAUGUCGCCUGUGACGAAGCGUGAGUGACGGUAAUGGGUAAAGAAGCACCGGCUAACUACGUG